rnacentral:misc_RNA from 1 species
AAGUCGUAACAAGGUUUCCGUAGGUGAACCUGCGGAAGGAUCAUUAAUGAAUUCAAUGGCAAAGUUGUCGCUGGCUCUCUGAGCAUGUGCACACUUUGUUUAUUCAUUCCACACACCUCUGUGCACCAUUUCAUAGACUGGCAUACGGUGGGGUUACCCUUGGUGACUCUGCUAGCCUUCCUAUGUAUUUUUAUCACAAACAUUAGUAUGAGAAUGUCUAUUGCGUUGAAUCGCAUUGAAAUACAACUUUCAGCAACGGAUCUCUUGGCUCUC